rnacentral:rRNA from 1 species
UUGACGGGGGCCCGCACAAGCGGCGGAGCAUGCGGAUUAAUUCGAUGCAACGCGAAGAACCUUACCAAGGCAUGACAUACACCGGUAACGCCCAGAGAUGGGUGCCCCUUUGUGGUCGGUGGACAGGUGGUGCAUGGUUGUCGUCAGCUCGUGUCGUGAGAUGUUGGGUUAAGUCCCGCAACGAGCGCAACCCCUAUUGUUAGUUGCCAUCAUUCAGUUGGGCACUCUAGCGAGACUGCCGGUAAUAAACCGGAGGAAGGUGGGGAUGACGUCAAAUCAUCAUGCCCCUUAUGACCUGGGCUACACACGUGCUACAAUGGUUGGUACAACGAGUUGCGAGUCGGUGACGGCGAGCUAAUCUCUUAAAGCCAAUCUCAGUUCGGAUUGUAGGCUGCAACUCGCCUACAUGAAGUCGGAAUCGCUAGUAAUCGCGGAUCAGCACGCCGCGGUGAAUACGUUCCCGGGCCUU